GACGGAGGGUGCUAGCGUUGUUCGGAAUUACUGGGCGUAAAGGGCGCGUAGGCGGCCGUUUGCGUCGGAUGUGAAAGCCCGGGGCUCAACCCCGGAACGGCAUCCGAUACGGGACGGCUGGAGACCGGGAGAGGAGGGUGGAAUAGCCAGUGUAGAGGUGAAAUUCGUAGAUAUUGGCUGGAACACCGGUGGCGAAAGCGGCUCUCUGGCCCGGUUCUGACGCUGAGGCGCGAAAGCGUGGGGAGCAAACGGG
rnacentral:rRNA from 1 species